UACGGAGGGGGCUAGCGUUAUUCGGAAUUAUUGGGCGUAAAGGGCUCGUAGGCGGUUUGUCGCGUCGGGAGUGAAAACCUUGGGCUUAACUCAGGGCUUGCUUUCGAUACGGGCAGACUAGAGGUAUGCAGGGGAGAACGGAAUUCCUGGUGUAGCGGUGAAAUGCGCAGAUAUCAGGAGGAACACCGGUGGCGAAGGCGGUUCUCUGGGCAUGAUCUGACGCUGAGGAGCGAAAGUGUGGGGAGCGAACAGG
rnacentral:rRNA from 1 species